UCUGGAACCUCUACCGGACGGUCGUGGACUUCUCCACCGCGCAGGUGAUGGCCCUGGCACUGGCCGUCGCGCUGCUGAUGGUGUUCUUUUUCGCGCGCACCUUCGCGCUGUCGGUACAGGACCGGGUGAUUCGCGUGGAGAUGCAGCUGCGCCUGGCCAAGCUGGCGCCAGACCUCGCCGCCCGGUUCGGCGAGUUCUCGAUCAACCAGUUGUGCAGCCUGCGCUUUGCGAGCGACGCCGAGCUUCCCGAACUAGCGCGUCGGGUCCUGUCCGAGAAGCUGGACGAUCGCAAGGCGAUCAAGAAGCAGAUCCGCAACUGGCACGCGGAUCACCUGCGCGCCUGACGGCCGGCGGCGUUCGGGGCAGCACGCCCCGGCGGGGACAAUUAGUGGCGGUCGGGAUAGACGUUGAACGUCUUUCCGUUCCAGGUCACCCGCUCGGUCUUGAUCUCGAAGCGCUUGGGGUCACGGUUGCGGUGGCCCGAAAGCGUCACCUUGGCGCCGAGCGAAAUCACGCCAGCCUUCAGGCCGGCGCGGUCGGUGCGCGGCCCUGGCGCCAGGGUGACGUCCCACACCUGGCCAUCGGCGGCUCGCACUCGCAUCGUGCCGUGCGGCCCGCCCAGGCUGACAUCCGUUUCGACAGUGCCCGUUAGCUGAAACUCCUCGU
rnacentral:misc_RNA from 1 species